ensembl:snoRNA SNORA72 Small nucleolar RNA SNORA72
CUGCUAAUAUUUUCAUUGUACUGAUUUUGUCAUAAUCAGAACAGGCUAAACAUUCACUGUAGUAAAACCAUGCAUGUGUUCUCAGAUCUAGUUCUUUCCCUAGAUCUGGUUUUCUAAAUGUGAGUGACAAAC